UUCAGGAGGCGGGGCAGGAACCAGUCAUCAGGGCUAAAAUCACUCCGGCCCUCCCCCGUCAGCAGCUCCCUCCGGUUCUGGAAACACCUGUCCGGCUAAGCGCGCAAUGCAGGGAAGCUGGACCGUUCAAGUGAGCCCCUCACGCAGGCGCCCAGAACGCCGAGUCCUGACUCCCGCCGGCGGGAUGGCGGAGGCGGACAGCAGAGGGCACGCGGCAGAGGCAGGGAGGCAGAGCCUCUGGAAGAGGCCGGGUAUAUACCUGAUUCAGGCCUGAAGGGUAUGAAGUUUGAUUGGCCACGUGGUAAGAAGUUUGAUUGGGCAAAGAAUGUGAGUAAGUACCUUUGGGAAGAUUUGGUCAUUGAAUAUCAAUAGGAAGAUCAUUGAAUCCAACACCUCCAUUUUACAAAUGGACAAGCUGAGGCCCUGUGAUACUCUGACUUGCCCAAGGCUAUUCAAUGAGUUGGCAGCAGAAUGACUACUUGACUCCCAGCCCUCUGUUCUUCCCAGGAGACCAAGCCAGCUGCUUCUGCACAGUCAUCAAAUCCAAACUAAGAACAAACAACCAAAAGCUUCUGGGAGAAUAAGCUAAUCCACUUGUUUCCACAUCAAUGCCAACCUAAUAAAAUGACAACAAAAACACCUUAUUGAAGAGCUACCAGACUCGGUUAAAGGUUUGAGCCAGUGGUUAAUGGGUACAAGGACUGAGAGCAAAGAGAUGUUGUAUCUUCAAGCUUGGCAUCUGGGAUUGGUUCAGCAAACACUCUCAGAGAGCCUAGCAUCUGUUGACCCAAUUGCUAGAAAAAUGAGAUGAGGUGGAUAAAAGCCAAGGGUGGAAGAAUGUAGCAGAAAUCUAGGACUCAGACUUCCUGUUCUGCUGAAGAACAUGUUAUGUAUGUCACUUGGCAACUGGGACAUGAAGUGCAGCCACAAAAAGACACUCAGUGUUUCUAAGUUGAGUUGGGAGGGCACACAGCCCUAUGAAGAGUUCACAAUUCAGUUGGGAGUGUCACAUGAACACAAGAAUGUUGGUGCCUUAUAGUUUCAAUUCCGGCACAACAUCGAUUUUUUAGGGGGGCAAGUGUAUCCAUAAUCUCCGAGCACGUACAGCAUAAGAGGAAGGCUCAUAAGAGCAUGUACCAACUUAACCACAGAAAGAGCACUAGACGUAUUUCAGUUUCUGAUUGCCUUUUUUAAACAAUAAAAACAUGGAUAAUAAUCCUUCCCAGAAAAAUGUGAGGUUAAAAGUUUAAUCUGAGUUCACAGCACACACAUUCCAAGGGGGCACUGUACUUGGGGAAAUUACUCACCUAGAGUUUAUAUAAGUUCUGAGGCGAUUAGAGUCAGCCGACAAAUUGGAGCCAGAACACGUUUACAUUUAAGGCUUAAAAAUGUAGAUUCCUCUUACAGAAAGAAGGAAGGGGAGGGGGAAUCACCCACCAUCCAAUGUUUCUUGUUAAGAGACCAGACCCCAUUAAGUGUCAGUCCAUCAUCUAAGAGCGUGUGGAAGAUGCCAGUACACAAUCCCCCUGUCUGUCCCUCUUGAAAAGCACACGUCACAUCUGCUUGCUAUCAGCAUUUAUCUCGCAGCGUGCGUCUGACUCAUUUGGAAAACUCAAAGCACAUGUUUAUUCCCGCUGAGGAACCAGCCAUUACCAUGCAAUUUACAGGCCCUCUGCAGCCCAGAGCACACCACGAUGGAGAGGACUACCAAAUGCCAAGGAGCUGGUCUGGGCCCUCGGCGCUGCUUGGUUUGAUUACUUUGCUACCAACUUUGUAAAGGGAAAUGACACCCGCUUCAGCCUCCAGCGAGCUCUCUUGUCACUUCCCAGCCUGAGUCACAACUAACGCUUCUCCUUUUUAGCCAGUCAGGGUGGGUAAAAACCCCAAAGCCAGUGUGUUUGGGAAGGAGUGACAGCAGGUAAUGAAUGAGAAACACACAGCUUGUUAAUUUCUGGAAACAAACGGCACUUGUGCAACAACUCAAGAAGUCUUGGUCAGUGGUCACAAAACAAAAUCGAUGUGCUCUUUCUUUUUUUAAAUCCCUGCAGUCUCUGGGAUGGAUCUUGGUGAUUGCAACACAUUUUUCACAUUGGGCUUCUAUCACCUAAUCUGAUUUCAAGCGGUUUCUCUAACAACAAUGAAACUGAAUGCACAUGAAUCUACUCUACCUGGUCCUACACAAAGCCACACUCCCAGCUGCAAAGUAAAA